UAGGGAAUCUUCGGCAAUGGACGAAAGUCUGACCGAGCAACGCCGCGUGAGUGAAGAAGGCUUUCGGAUCGUAAAACUCUGUUGGUAGAGAAGAACGUUGGUGAGAGUGGAAAGCUCAUCAAGUGACGGUAACUACCCAGAAAGGGACGGCUAACUACGUGCCUG
rnacentral:rRNA from 1 species